GCUCGUGGAACGAGCGGCGGACGGGUGAGUAACACGUGGGCAACCUGCCUGUAAGACCGGAAUAACCCCGGGAAACCGGGGCUAAUGCCGGGUAAUACUUUUCUUCGCAUGAAGGAAAGUUGAAAGAUGGCUUCUCGCUAUCACUUACAGAUGGGCCCGCGGCGCAUUAGCUAGUUGGUGAGGUAACGGCUCACCAAGGCGACGAUGCGUAGCCGACCUGAGAGGGUGAUCGGCCACACUGGGACUGAGACACGGCCCAGACUCCUACGGGAGGCAGCAGUAGGGAAUCUUCCGCAAUGGACGAAAGUCUGACGGAGCAACGCCGCGUGAACGAUGAAGGUCUUCGGAUCGUAAAGUUCUGUUGUUAGGGAAGAACAAGUACCGUGCGAAUAGAGCGGUACCUUGACGGUACCUAACGAGGAAGCCCCGGCUAACUACGUGCCAGCAGCCGCGGUAAUACGUAGGGGGCAAGCGUUGUCCGGAAUUAUUGGGCGUAAAGCGCGCGCAGGCGGUUCCUUAAGUCUGAUGUG
rnacentral:rRNA from 1 species